rnacentral:rRNA from 1 species
CAAAGUUGUGUAGUGCGAUCGGUGGAUGCCUUGGCACCAAGAGCCGAUGAAGGACGUUGUGACCUGCGAUAAGCCCUGGGGAGUUGGUGAGCGAGCUGUGAUCCGGGGGUGUCCGAAUGGGGAAACCUGGAAUGUCCGGAGUAGUGUCCGGUGGCCCUGCCCUGAAUGUAUAGGGGUGUGGGUGGUAACGCGGGGAAGUGAAACAUCUUAGUACCCGUAGGAAGAGAAAACAAGUGUGAUUCCGUGAGUAGUGGCGAGCGAAAGCGGAGGAGGCUAAACCGUGUGUGUGUUCAAGCCGGCAGGUGUUGCAUGUGCGGGGUUGUGGGGGCCUUGUGGUUCUGCUGCCGCAGGAUUGGCCAGUGAGAAAUGUUGCGUGAAGGUGAAGCGUCUGGGAAGGCGUACCGGAGUGGGUGAGAGUCCUGUAACUGUAAGCGUGGCACUGGUGUGGGGUUGCCCCGAGUAGCGUGGGACUCGUGGAAUUUCGCGUGAAUCUGGCGGGACCACCCGUCAAGCCUAAAUACUCCUUGGUGACCGAUAGUGGAUGAGUACCGUGAGGGAAGGGUGAAAAGUACCCCGGGAGGGGAGUGAAAGAGUUCCUGAAACCGGUCGCAUGCAAGCCGUCAGAGCCUGUGUGGUGAUGGCGUGCCUUUUGAAGAAUGAGCCUGCGAGUUAGUGAUGCGUGGCGAGGUUAACCCGUGGUGGGGGAGUCGUAGCGAAAGCGAGUCCGAUAAGGGCGUGAGUCGCGUGUUCUAGACCCGAAGCGGUGUGAUCUAUCCAUGGCCAGGAUGAAGCGUCGGUAAGACGUCGUGGAGGUCCGAACCCACUUCAGUUGAAAAUGGAGGGGAUGAGUUGUGGAUAGGGGUGAAAGGCCAAUCAAACACCGUGAUAGCUGGUUCUCCCCGAAAUGCAUUUAGGUGCAGCGUUGCGUGGUUCUUGUUGGAGGUAGAGCACUGGAUGGUCUAGGGGGCUUAUCGGCUUACCGAAAUCAGCCAAACUCCGAAUGCUGGCAAGUGUAGCGUGGCAGUGAGACGGCGGGGGAUAAGCUUCGUCGUCGAGAGGGAAACAGCCCAGAUCAUCAGCUAAGGCCCCUAAGUGGUGACUCAGUGGGAAAGGAUGUGGAGUUGCGUAGACAACCAGGAGGUUGGCUUGGAAGCAGCCAUCCUUGAAAGAGUGCGUAAUAGCUCACUGGUCAAGUGAUUCCGCGCCGAUAAUGUAGCGGGGCUUAAGUUAUCCGCCGAAGCUGUGGCAACCUGUGUGGUUGGGUAGGGGAGCGUCGUGUCAGUGGUGAAGCUGCCGGGUGACUGUGUGGUGGAGUUGAUGCGAGUGAGAAUGCAGGCAUGAGUAGCGUGUGACGGGUGGGAAUCCCGUCCGCCGAUUAUCCAAGGGUUCCAGGGUCAAGUUUGUCUGCCCUGGGUGAGUCGGGUCCUAAGGCGAGGCCGACAGGCGUAGUCGAUGGGUAACCAGUUGAUAUUCUGGUACCGGCUUGUCACCGUCCGUGUCGAGGUGUGUGAUGCUAAGCAUGUGAGCUUGUCUUGGGAGUGUUUUUGAUGCUUCUGGGGUGGGUGAGUGUGUGAACCGAUCAUGUAGUAGGCAAGCUGCGGAGGGACGCAGUGAGGUAGCUCAUCCCCGGUGAUGGUUGUCCGGGGCUAAGUGUGUGGACUGUCUGGUAGGUAAAUCCGCUGGGCGUGAAGGUUGAGGCAUGAUGGGGAGCCCACGGUUGUGGGUGAGUGAGUGAUCCUGUACUGUCGAGAAAAGCUUCGUGAGCGAGGUGGCGGGUCCGCCCGUACCCUAAACCGACACUGGUGGAUAGGUAGAGUAUACCGAGGCGAUCGAGUGAAUCGUGGUGAAGGAACUCGGCAAAAUGCCCCCGUAACUUUGGGAUAAGGGGGACCUGAGCUGUCGUGCACCCGUGCGGUGUGGUGGCGGUGAGGGGCGCAGAGUCCAGGGGGAAACGACUGUUUACCAAAAACACAGGUCCGUGCGAAGUCGUAAGACGAUGUAUACGGACUGACUCCUGCCCGGUGCUGGAAGGUUAAGGGGAACUGUGAGUGUAUGCGUAGCGGUGAACUUAAGCCCCAGUAAACGGCGGUGGUAACUAUAACCAUCCUAAGGUAGCGAAAUUCCUUGUCGGGUAAGUUCCGACCUGCACGAAUGGAGUAACGAUUUCCCUACUGUCUCCACCAUGAACUCGGUGAAAUUGCAUUACGAGUAAAGAUGCUCGUUACGCGCAGCAGGACGGAAAGACCCCGGGACCUUUACUAU